UGAUCUCACCGCUGCCUCCUUC
rnacentral:miRNA from 1 species